rnacentral:rRNA from 1 species
ACAUGCAGUCGAGGGGCAGCAUGGUCUUAGCUUGCUAAGGCCGAUGGCGACCGGCGCACGGGUGAGUAACACGUAUCCAACCUGCCGUCUACUCUUGGACAGCCUUCUGAAAGGAAGAUUAAUACAAGAUGGCAUCAUGAGUCCGCAUGUUCACAUGAUUAAAGGUAUUCCGGUAGACGAUGGGGAUGCGUUCCAUUAGAUAGUAGGCGGGGUAACGGCCCACCUAGUCUUCGAUGGAUAGGGGUUCUGAGAGGAAGGUCCCCCACAUUGGAACUGAGACACGGUCCAAACUCCUACGGGAGGCAGCAGUGAGGAAUAUUGGUCAAUGGACGAGAGUCUGAACCAGCCAAGUAGCGUGAAGGAUGACUGCCCUAUGGGUUGUAAACUUCUUUUAUACGGGAAUAAAGUGAGGCACGUGUGCCUUUUUGUAUGUACCGUAUGAAUAAGGAUCGGCUAACUCCGUGCCAGCAGCCGCGGUAAUACGGAGGAUCCGAGCGUUAUCCGGAUUUAUUGGGUUUAAAGGGAGCGUAGGCGGACGCUUAAGUCAGUUGUGAAAGUUUGCGGCUCAACCGUAAAAUUGCAGUUGAUACUGGGUGUCUUGAGUACAGUAGAGGCAGGCGGAAUUCGUGGUGUAGCGGUGAAAUGCUUAGAUAUCACGAAGAACUCCGAUUGCGAAGGCAGCCUGCUGGACUGUAACUGACGCUGAUGCUCGAAAGUGUGGGUAUCAAACAGGAUUAGAUACCCUGGUAGUCCACACAGUAAACGAUGAAUACUCGCUGUUUGCGAUAUACAGUAAGCGGCCAAGCGAAAGCGUUAAGUAUUCCACCUGGGGAGUACGCCGGCAACGGUGAAACUCAAAGGAAUUGACGGGGGCCCGCACAAGCGGAGGAACAUGUGGUUUAAUUCG